UACGUAGGGUGCAAGCGUUAAUCGGAAUUACUGGGCGUAAAGCGUGCGCAGGCGGCUUUGCAAGACAGAUGUGAAAUCCCCGGGCUUAACCUGGGAACUGCAUUUGUGACUGCAUGGCUAGAGUGCGGCAGAGGGGGAUGGAAUUCCGCGUGUAGCAGUGAAAUGCGUAGGGAUGUGGAGGAACACCGAUGGCGAAGGCAGCCUCCUGGGCCAGCACUGACGCUCAUGCGCGAAAGCGUGGGGAGCAAACAGG
rnacentral:rRNA from 1 species